AUUACCCCUUCAUACUUUAACCCUUAUCAUCGGACUCGGGGUUCGAUAUAAUCUGAUUACACACACCAAGACAUACACACGUUGUGCCAGGCUCCUCUCCGGCCUCGUUUGUCUCGUGUAUCUUAAUCCAGGAGGGAAGGAGUGUGGUACAAUUACCCCUUCAUACUUUAACCCUUAUCAUCGGGCUCGGGAUUCGAUAUAACCUGAUUACACACACCAAGACGCACACACGCUGUGCCAGGCUCCUCUCCGGCCUCGUUUGUCUCGUGUAUCUUAAUCCAGAAAGUGAUGUGUCUACUUUCGGUUUUAGUAGUUUCUUUGGUGGUAGUUCAGAAAGUGAUGAGGGUUUUACGACGUCAAAAGAUCGAGAGGUGUUUCGUUUGCCUCAAGAUACAAACUAUCUACAGGAGAGGAUCGGAAAGUUCCUGUGCACAGUCGUAAUCCUUGAUGGUGAAUUGCAUCGAGGGCUUUGAUAUAGGAUGUUCUUGCAGCACCAUAUACUAUACAGCCGUAGUUUAGUUUAGAUCGGAUUAGAGAGCGAUACAGAUGUAGAAGAGUAUUUUUACCUGCUCCCUGUUGUGUUUGCAGCAACUUUAAAUACAUUUAUAUCAAGAGCUUCUGUACAUAUCUCUUUGAACAUUGCUAUAUGAGGAAUAAAAGAAAGAUUAUUAUUUUAAAAAUGACA